AUGGUUGGUUUUCACGGCAAGAUGGGUAGAGCCUGGAGGAGAUGCUGGUGUGACCCCCAGCCUGCUGACCACACCAGCCCUGUGCACACAGGUCCCAGCUCCUUGCCAGCUGAUCUCCUUGAAGCAUUCAUUUCCUGCUGCACAUUUAAUUACUGCUGUGAGAGUCCACCAGCAAAAGUGCAAUCGAUGUGGAAGAUUAACGAAUCUCACGCUUUACCUCUCUCCUCCCCCCCCAAAAUCAGAAAGCCCACUCGGUUGUUUCCAGCACACAUCUAUCAUUACACACUCCUGGGUCUCAGAUGGGCAAUGCCAUCUCAGUGUGGAGAGGUUCCUUUCAUUGGCCUUCCCAUUUCUAUCCGAACACUGAGGAGGUGAUACCUCUGCAGAGAAUGGAGAAUAAUCCUUGGGCAUUUCUGGAGAAAGAGGUAAUGUGAGCAGGGGUAGGCAGGCAAAGAGCCCUGGGAACAUGGCUUGGCACUACACCUGGAAGGGUUGGAGGUGACACUGCUCAAUGCACCAUCCUAACCAGCAGCAAUUGUCCAAGGUUCCUCUCCCAUAUGUGUUCCCUGGCCAUAGACCAUCCCCAUACAAACCAUCAUCACCAGGCAAACCAGCUUCAAAAGCCAAAAGGUUUACGUUCUGUCCCUGCACUUUCUGUGACUAAAAGAAGAAUCUGGAUGAGGAGAAGAAAUCUGCAUAGAGGAAAUUCAGAGUCAUAGACCUGAUGUGGGAUGACAUCGAGAGUUGUCACCAUUCAAGCGUGUGCUGCUCCUGUGACUGCAUUACCAGCAACCUCGGUGGGAACUGGACCUGCAAGCUGUGAGUUAUUAAGCUGGUCCAAGUCUGCUGACCUUCCUCUGUGUUCUGAUUUUUCACUAAAGUCACAGACUGGACAGCCCACAUCAGAAAAAGAAAAGAAAAAAGCAGGAAACAAAAAGUAAAAGGCAUCAUUCUUUGCUCCUUGAUCACCCAGACAAAAUACCGACCCCUGCAAGAGAGUCAUGUUGGGGGAUUUCAGCAAUGCCUCAUCACAGGGUGUGCAGCUCUGUGAGCUAUUGGUUCUGAUGAAUACUGAGAGCAAACUGCACAGUCUAAGAAAGGACAGACCAUAGCUUGAGCUUCAUCAUCUGCAGUAGCAGUCACUGGUUCUCCCAUGCACAACAGCACUGUUGCCAUUUCUUUGGGACAGGCUGUUCUGAAGUUGAUCCACGUGAGAGUAAUUGGCUUGUUCAUGCAGCUCGUAGCUUACACACCACUUCAAGCCUUGGUUCCUGUCCAGGCACCACCACCAGUUCUCCCAUGACUUUGGGUUUACAUCUCUUUCUAACAUUCCUCCUUUUUUUCCCCUGCUGAGGGAAAACGUCCAGGUUUGUUC
rnacentral:lncRNA from 1 species